rnacentral:rRNA from 1 species
AGUCGAACGAAUCCCUUCGGGGAUUAGUGGCGGACGGGUGAGUAGCGCGUGAGAAUCUGCCUUCAGGUUCGGGACAACCACUGGAAACGGUGGCUAAUACCGAAUGUGCCGCAACGUGAAAGAUUUAUCGCCUGAAGAUGAGCUCGCGUCCGAUUAGCUAGUUGGUGAGGUAAAAGCUCACCAAGGCGACGAUCGGUAGCUGGUCUGAGAGGAUGACCAGCCACACUGGGACUGAGACACGGCCCAGACUCCUACGGGAGGCAGCAGUGGGGAAUUUUCCGCAAUGGGCGCAAGCCUGACGGAGCAAGACCGCGUGAGGGAGGAAGGCUCUUGGGUUGUAAACCUCUUUUCUCAGGGAAGAAGAAAGUGACGGUACCUGAGGAAUCAGCCUCGGCUAACUCCGUGCCAGCAGCCGCGGUAUACGGAGGAGGCAAGCGUUAUCCGGAAUUAUUGGGCGUAAAGCGUCCGUAGGUGGUUAUGUAAGUCUGCUGUCAAAGCACAGGGCUUAACCCUGUAAAGGCAGUGGAAACUACAAGACUCGAGUGCGGUAGGGGCAGAGGGAAUUCCCAGUGUAGCGGUGAAAUGCGUAGAGAUUGGGAAGAACACCUGUGGCGAAAGCGCUCUGCUGGACCGCAACUGACACUCAGGGACGAAAGCCAGGGGAGCGAAUGGGAUUAGAUACCCCAGUAGUCCUAGCCGUAAACGAUGGAUACUAG